UGAAAAGUAGUGGAUGAGAGAUCAUUUCCGGGUUACAAAUAUGUUAAUAUCUUUUUAAAUAUAGCUGCAAUCAAAACAAAGACAUUGUUGAUUGGACAGUUUCAAUAACUUCGACUCAGUCACAAAUAUACUCUUUAUGUUUAAAGACAAUAUAGCUUUUUGAUUUGAAAUCUGAUAAAAUCUUAUAUCAUAAAAUAUGCUCAAAUCCUAAUUACAGCUUCUCAUGUUGCAAUGGAUAAAUGGGUAUGAAUCAUGCUUGUUAAAUAUUGAACCUCAAAACUAAGAAGAAAUUGAUUUUUUUAACAUUUUUAAAUUUUGGUCCUUCAAUGGACUUUUGCAUCGCUGCCAACCCUUGACCUUUUAAAUAACCACUAUGCAAGCAAAUUAUGGUUAAGUGUCUGAAAUGUUGUUUCGUCUAUUUUAGCCAACCCAAAGGAGCUAACAAAUAAAUCAUCAGUCCUCAAACGAAUCAACCAGUGAAGGAGAAAAACAUUCAAAGCCGUAAAUUGUCAAAUCCAUCAGUUGGAAGAUGGAUGUCAAAGUCUUAGACAACGAAAGGCUUCCAGAGUUAAGAAAAGACCACUUCAACAAAAACAAUCAUGCAAAGAAUGACUGCAAAAAAUCUUUUCGCAGAUGCGUUUCAUCAUCAAGUGUAUAAGGAAAAGGGACCUGGGUACAGAGACUAGAUGUAAAUGUCAAGGACUGAAAUGAGCAAUUCAAUGGUUUCUUACUAAUUGUGUUUAUAUGCGUCAUAAGAAAUUAAAACUGUUAUAAAUGGA